rnacentral:rRNA from 1 species
UACGUAGGGUGCGAGCGUUAAUCGGAAUUACUGGGCGUAAAGCGCGUGUAGGCGGUCCGGUAAGUCCGCUGUGAAAGUCGGGGGCUCAACCCUCGAAUGCCGGUGGAUACUGUCGGGCUCGAGUCCGGAAGAGGAGUGUGGAAUUCCUGGUGUAGCGGUGAAAUGCGCAGAUAUCAGGAGGAACACCAAUGGCGAAGGCAGCACUCUGGGACGUGACUGACGCUGAGACGCGAAAGCGUGGGGAGCAAACAGG